UGGAGAGGUUCCCCUCCAGCCUGCCUUGCCCAUUGGCCAUAUCAGGGCAAGCACACAAUGCAUCAGGCCUACCAGAAGGACGUGGUUCGUGGAAGGCACUUCGACUCUGGGCAUUGCUGUAAGAGCUCUUCAUCCCACACCCAGUCCUGAGCAGCGCACGCUCAGGUGGAGUGGAGGUGGUGGAGUGGUGGAGGUGCAAAUGCAGUGCAUUGUGAGGAGGGAUCAGCACAGCUAUGGAGGAUUUUGCUCAUUGAAGCCAUUUGCUAUCGGUGGAGUGAAGAGAUAGUCAAGGUGGUGCAAAGCCCUUCUAAAACAGGAGUGGAGCCGCCCAAUGCAGCUCGGACACAGCUACAGGAUUCCUGCAUUGGGGAGCACUGCCCAGUCACAGCCUUCAAUCUCAAGUCCUCAAUCAGAGAUUUUCUGGGAGAGUGGGACUAAGGGCACUGGCCUCCCAUCCCCGCUGCUCACCCUCCACCAGGCAGGUGGAUGGGAACACGGGGCAGACUGUGUUUGCAACCUGCACCUUCAUGCAAACCCAUUUUGCAAAUCAUCAGUAGCAUAGAGUACAACCAUGGGAAGGGAACAAGAAAGUGGUGCUCCUAGUCUGGGGCCCUUGACCCAAAGCUUAAAGCUGCAUUUCCUGUGCUGUUCUGGGUGUAAUUUGUGUUCCAAGAAGAGGCCAGUUUGC
rnacentral:lncRNA from 1 species